rnacentral:tRNA from 1 species
CCGUAGCUCAGUGGAUAGAGUAGCGCCCUCCGAAGGCGAAGACCGCGGGUUCGAAUCCCGCCGGGC